GAUGAAGAACGCAGCGAAAUGCGAUAAGUAAUGUGAAUUGCAGAAUUCAGUGAAUCAUCGAAUCUUUGAACGCACAUUGCGCCCGCCAGUAUUCUGGCGGGCAUGCCUGUUCGAGCGUCAUUUCAACCAUCAAGCCCCAGGCUUGUGUUGGGGACCUGCGGCUGCCGCAGGCCCUGAAAACCAGUGGCGGGCUCGCUGUCACACCGGGCGUAGUAGAUUUUAUCUCGCUCUGGGCGUGCUGCGGGUUCCGGCCGUUAAAAAACCCUUUUAACCCAAGGUUGACCUCGGAUCAGGUAGGAAUACCGCUGAACUUAAGCAUAUCAAUAAGCGGAGGA
rnacentral:misc_RNA from 1 species